GGGUUGUGAGGUUAAGCGACUAAGCGUACACGGUGGAUGCCUAGGCAGUCAGAGGCGAUGAAGGGCGUGCUAAUCUGCGAAAAGCGUCGGUAAGCUGAUAUGAAGCGUUAUAACCGACGAUACCCGAAUGGGGAAACCCAGUGCAAUACGUUGCACUAUCGUUAGAUGAAUACAUAGUCUAACGAGGCGAACCGGGGGAACUGAAACAUCUAAGUACCCCGAGGAAAAGAAAUCAACCGAGAUUCCCCCAGUAGCGGCGAGCGAACGGGGAGGAGCCCAGAGUCUGAAUCAGUUUGUGUGUUAGUGGAAGCGUCUGGAAAGUCGCACGGUACAGGGUGAUAGUCCCGUACACCAAAAUGCACAGGCUGUGAACUCGAUGAGUAGGGCGGGACACGUGACAUCCUGUCUGAAUAUGGGGGGACCAUCCUCCAAGGCUAAAUACUCCUGACUGACCGAUAGUGAACCAGUACCGUGAGGGAAAGGCGAAAAGAACCCCGGCGAGGGGAGUGAAAUAGAACCUGAAACCGUGUACGUACAAGCAGUGGGAGCACCUUCGUGGUGUGACUGCGUACCUUUUGUAUAAUGGGUCAGCGACUUAUAUUUUGUAGCAAGGUUAACCGAAUAGGGGAGCCGUAGGGAAACCGAGUCUUAACUGGGCGUCUAGUUGCAAGGUAUAGACCCGAAACCCGGUGAUCUAGCCAUGGGCAGGUUGAAGGUUGGGUAACACUAACUGGAGGACCGAACCGACUAAUGUUGAAAAAUUAGCGGAUGACUUGUGGCUGGGGGUGAAAGGCCAAUCAAACCGGGAGAUAGCUGGUUCUCCCCGAAAGCUAUUUAGGUAGCGCCUCGUGAACUCAUCUUCGGGGGUAGAGCACUGUUUCGGCUAGGGGGCCAUCCCGGCUUACCAAACCGAUGCAAACUCCGAAUACCGAAGAAUGUUAUCACGGGAGACACACGGCGGGUGCUAACGUCCGUCGUGAAGAGGGAAACAACCCAGACCGCCAGCUAAGGUCCCAAAGUCAUGGUUAAGUGGGAAACGAUGUGGGAAGGCACAGACAGCCAGGAUGUUGGCUUAGAAGCAGCCAUCAUUUAAAGAAAGCGUAAUAGCUCACUGGUCGAGUCGGCCUGCGCGGAAGAUGUAACGGGGCUAAACCAUGCACCGAAGCUGCGGCAGCGACACUUAGGUGUUGUUGGGUAGGGGAGCGUUCUGUAAGCCGUUGAAGGUGACCUGUGAGGGUUGCUGGAGGUAUCAGAAGUGCGAAUGCUGACAUAAGUAACGAUAAUGCGGGUGAAAAACCCGCACGCCGGAAGACCAAGGGUUCCUGUCCAACGUUAAUCGGGGCAGGGUGAGUCGACCCCUAAGGCGAGGCUGAAAAGCGUAGUCGAUGGGAAACAGGUUAAUAUUCCUGUACUUGGUGUUACUGCGAAGGGGGGACGGAGAAGGCUAGGCUGGCCGGGCGACGGUUGUCCCGGUUUAAGCGUGUAGGGGGAGUGACCAGGUAAAUCCGGUUGCUUAUCAACCCUGAGGCGUGAUGACGAUGCACCACGGUGCAGAAGCAGUUGAUGCCAUGCUUCCAGGAAAAGCCUCUAAGCAUCAGGUAACAUUAAAUCGUACCCCAAACCGACACAGGUGGUCAGGUAGAGAAUACUCAGGCGCUUGAGAGAACUCGGGUGAAGGAACUAGGCAAAAUGGUGCCGUAACUUCGGGAGAAGGCACGCUGGCGUUAGGUGAAAGGACUAGCUCCUGGAGCUGAAGCCAGUCGCAGAUACCAGCUGGCUGCAACUGUUUAAUAAAAACACAGCACUGUGCAAACACGAAAGUGGACGUAUACGGUGUGACGCCUGCCCGGUGCUGGAAGGUUAAUUGAUGGGGUCAGCCGCAAGGCGAAGCUCUUGAUCGAAGCCCCAGUAAACGGCGGCCGUAACUAUAACGGUCCUAAGGUAGCGAAAUUCCUUGUCGGGUAAGUUCCGACCUGCACGAAUGGCGUAAUGAUGGCCAGGCUGUCUCCACCCGAGACUCAGUGAAAUUGAACUCGCUGUGAAGAUGCAGUGUACCCGCGGCAAGACGGAAAGACCCCGUGAACCUUUACUAUAGCUUGACACUGAACAUUGAGCCUUGAUGUGUAGGAUAGGUGGGAGGCCUUGAAGUGUGGACGCCAGUCUGCAUGGAGCCAACCUUGAAAUACCACCCUUUAAUGUUUGAUGUUCUAACUCGGCCCCAUGAUCUGGGGUGAGGACAGUGUCUGGUGGGUAGUUUGACUGGGGCGGUCUCCUCCCAAAGAGUAACGGAGGAGCACGAAGGUUAGCUAAUCACGGUCGGACAUCGUGAGGUUAGUGCAAAGGCAUAAGCUAGCUUGACUGCGAGAGUGACGGCUCGAGCAGGUACGAAAGUAGGUCUUAGUGAUCCGGUGGUUCUGAAUGGAAGGGCCAUCGCUCAACGGAUAAAAGGUACUCCGGGGAUAACAGGCUGAUACCGCCCAAGAGUUCAUAUCGACGGCGGUGUUUGGCACCUCGAUGUCGGCUCAUCACAUCCUGGGGCUGAAGUAGGUCCCAAGGGUAUGGCUGUUCGCCAUUUAAAGUGGUACGCGAGCUGGGUUUAGAACGUCGUGAGACAGUUCGGUCCCUAUCUGCCGUGGGCGUUGGAAGAUUGAGAGGGGCUGCUCCUAGUACGAGAGGACCGGAGUGGACGAAUCACUGGUGUUCGGGUUGUCAUGCCAAUGGCAUUGCCCGGUAGCUAAAUUCGGAAGAGAUAACCGCUGAAAGCAUCUAAGCGGGAAACUUGCCUCGAGAUGAGUCUUCCCUGGGGCUUAAAGCCCCCUGAAGGAACGUUAAAGACUAUGACGUUGAUAGGCUGGGUGUGUAAGUGCAGCGAUGUAUUGAGCUAACCAGUACUAAUGAUCCGUGAGGCUUAACCUUACAACCCCGAAGGUGUUU
rnacentral:rRNA from 1 species